rnacentral:piRNA from 1 species
UAGUAAUGAAAAAGCUCUAGGAGCUGGGCUG